UAAAACAUAGACUGAACGGGUAAUUAACAAACUAUACAUAUUUAGGGUAAUAAGGUUUCAUAUAUGAUAUAAUUAGGAAAAAAUCCCAAAUGAAAAUCAACUUUUUACAUGUUGAGUCAAAAUAGCUACUACUUAAUAUUAGAGAAUUUGGAGAAUUAUACAUGUGGAAGACCACAAGAGGCAAAAAGGAGAGCUUGCUCCAAUAGAAGGAAACAACUAUAAGCACAACUUUCGACCAUUUUAUUUUUCCUGUUUAGGAUCAAGCAAUUGGAUCCAGCUUUUUCCUUUAUCCUAUUCGCCGAGGGUCGAUUGGAAACAGCCUCUCUGCCCUUUUGGGCAGGGGUAAGGCUCGUCUACAUNGGUUCAUAAGUGCGUAGAGAGCUGGCCUUACAGAGUUCUCCUUGAAGCGGCUUACACUUCACACUUACAUAGGUGAUUCCUAAAAGUGUCAUCCCGUAGAUACACUAUUUGAUAUACCCCGUUCAAACUUAGAAACCAUUAAAAAGCCUUAAUGCUUUAUCCUGGUACUGAACAUUGUCUCAUCAUCAAGCAAUUGGAUCAUGGUGGAGGUGGUCCAUAAGGUCCUGUAUGCCUGGGUGCCCCCAUUGGGCGUCCAAAACAGUCUUGUAAUAACCAGCAGCAGCAAAACAAGCUCAGGCUGUAGAAUAUCAAAUAUCAAGCUUAAGGUAAAUGUCAUAACAACUGAAUCAAACCUAAAUAAUAAAAUGGGAAAAAAAUUAUAUUUAGAAUUUAGAGGCAAAAUUAAUCUAACUAAAAUUUCUGAUUUCCUUUUUUUGCGCUCCUAACCAACAGAUAAUAGAAGUCUAAAAUUAAGGUGAAAAAACAGAGUUUAUAGAACAUUUUACCAAGAACCUAUAAAGUUGCAAAAACUACCAACGAAACCAGCGGAUCCUACUGGACAUUGAGGGGGCGGCCCUCCAGGUGCAGACAUCAGUUGAGCUCCUGGACCUUGAGGAGGGCCGCCUGGGAGACCUUGAGGAGGGCUCCACCUAGGCGGCCCUUCAUGUCCAGGCAUCGAUUGGCCUCCCGGACCUUGAGGUGGUCCCCACCUAGGCGGCCCUCCAGGUCCCAUUCUCACUAAGGUGAAGCACACCUCUACUAAGUCACCAAAGUCAAAUUGCCGGUAAUAAUAACUGCUUAUAUUUUGGAACCAACUUGUGCUUGAUAUAAAGUAUAUAUAUAGAGAUUAAGUAGCUAUAUAUACGUAUGACCAAGUGUCAUCUACCUUUCUCCAACCAACUAGUCAGAAGCUAAAUUUUACCUAAUCUUCUUUUCUUCCACUUCUAGUGUUUACCGCACGCAAAUAACUGCAUUCAACACUAGUCUGAUUAUUUGUUAAAAACAACUUAUAAUAAAAUAGAGCAAACUUUUUGUAGUGAUCACUUUGGAUGUGUUUGGUAUGAAGGAAAAAGUUUUCAUGGAUAAAGUUUUCAUGAAAAAUAAGUGGUUUUAUCACUUAUUUUUUCUUGUCUGGCUGAUGGGUGAAAACUUUUUUCCGGAAGGUACUACAGAAUUAAUAAUAUUUUUAUUUAAGGUGGGGGCGGGGUGGGGGUAAGGCUAGGGUGGGUUGAGAUUAGGGUGAGUGGAGUUGGGGUGUGGUGUGGGGGUGGGUCGGUAUGGGUUGGUAGGGAUGGGGAAUAGAGGGAAGGUUGGAAAAGAGUUUAGAAAAAUUUUUCCUCCAAUUGAAAGAAAUUGAGUUCACGAGAAAAAUAUUUUGCAAAACAAAUAAAUCAAUAAAACAUAAAAAAUUUUAAAAAUAUUUUCUUUCAUACCUGACACAACCUUUAUCAUCAAAUAUUAUGCCUAGGUUUGAUAAUCGGAGACAUUUAAUACUACUUCAUAAAUCAUUAGAAUAAUUGAUACAGUUCCAUCCUACAAAUUAAUUUAAGAUUGAAAAGAUCAUAUUCCUUUCAAGAAAUAACAUGCCCCUAAAAAAACUUUUCCUGCUUUCAGUUUCCAAAUUAUGAACAUUAGAUAUGAAGGAACCAAUAGCUAUAUGCUGGUCCUUUUAUUUAUUAUUUGACCAAAAAAUGAAAGGAUCAUGACUUUUUAUUAUUUGACCUAAAACUGAAAGAAUAUUGACUAACUCAAUUUUUAGCCAUUCUUGGUACAUAAACUGCAUACUUAAGCUUUUUAAAUUUUUUUGUCAUCUCGAAUAUGCCUCAAUUAUUGAUAGUAAUAUUUUUGUCGUACAAGUUCUUCUUAGGAAAUGUUAGAAGUAGAGUAAUAAAAUAUAGGAGUAGUUUGUUUUGCGUGUUCACAAAUGAGUUCUACUUCAAAUUUAUAGCAUUUACCUUCAGUACAAAAAUGGUUUUCAUACUUAAAAAUCCAAUUUUUUUUUUAUAUAACUGAAAAUUCUAAAGCUGAUGAGAGGAAUAGAGUUGAGCCAAGGACGUGAUAAUUAUAAACUAAAUGAAGCGAAUUUUUGUGAGUGAGUUUUCCGAAUAAACUUUAACAGCAUUACCAUUUUAUAAAAAUAAAGAAACUCAACUAACUAUUCACUACCACAACAUAGGAGUAUGCAAACCGAACAAAAAAACCGCACCAAACCGAAAAUUCAAAUCAAACCGAUUUAAACCCGAUUAAGUUUGGUUUGACUUAAGUUUGGUAUUGUGUAAAAAAAUCCGACCAAACUGACAUAUAUAAAUUUUAUUUAUAUUUUUAAGACUUUAUAGUGAUUUUUCUUUAGAAAAUGUAAAAUAUUUGGGCUCCUCUCAUUUAUUAACUUAUCGUAAAUUAACGAAAAAUCAUUGUUAGACGACUAAGAAAAUAACUAUUAUGUGUUACUUAAAAUAUUUUAAUAGAUCAUAUGUUUGUCAGUUUUUUUCAUAUUUACUAAACAUAUAUUCACUUAUCAAAGGUUUAUCUAUAUUUUAAUAAAAUAAGAUUGAAAUAAUAUUCAUAUAACAAAAAAUCCGAAAACCCGACAAAACCGGAAACCAAUAUAGUUGGUUUGGAUUGAUUUUGAUAAAAACCGAACCAACCCGGUCCAUGUACACACAACAUAUGUUUAUUUUAUUCUCAAAUCAGCAAAUUUAAACUUUAAACAAUGAGCAUCGAAUUUUGAAAGUCGAACUGCUCGAUAGUCAAUGUUAGAAUUUCAGCCUAUUAACUUACGUUCUUAAUGCUGUUGUCAAUUAUUCAAAAAUUAAGCUGAUACUAUUAAUCCAAUAUGUGGAUUUCGCACAUAGAUAUAAAAAAUCAAGCAUUAGAAAUCGUUAGACGAUAGAAGUAUACAUUGUUUUGACAUGUUCACGCAUGCAUGCAACAGAAGGAAAUGAUAAUUCGGAGCAUGAAAUAGAACUCUAAACACAUCAUACUCCUUCAUCCAAACCCGAUUGACAAAUUGCGCCUGACUCCGCAAAAUCCUGCCUAUGUCACUGAAUGAUCAAAGAAAAGAAAAGAUCAAAGAUAGGGAAAAGAGGGUAAAAACAUUCACACCAAAUGAUGGGGAUAAGUUUUUACCGGAGGAGGAAUAAGGGAGAAAGAUGGAUUAAGAAUAUAAUGUGGUAUGCUUGGCUCCUCGCACGCCACCCACUGAUCAGCCAAUCAAAGAAGUCGAGGAUUGGUGAAAGUGUGUGGCAUACAAGGAGCCAGGCACAUCCAAGUUUUGCACCCUUCAUUCAUUCGUCCUCCAUAUAUAUAUCUUUGUCACAUCUAUCUAGCUAUCCAGUUCUGGCUAAAUAACAAAGAUUUCUUCUUUGGAGACUUGCAGCUAGGGAGAGGAAAUACUUAGAUACUAGGAAAUGAGUUGGAAUGGAAAUGAGAAUAUAUAUAUAUAUAUAUAUAUAUAUAUAUAUAUAUAUAUCACACACAAAAAAAUAAAUCAUGUAUAAUAUGUAUAACUGCGUAUAAUCAGUUAUAACCAACGUAUACCAGCUAGAAAAAAAAUAAUGAAUCAUGCCGGCUUACCAUGUAUAUAAAUUUAAAUGUACCGUUAGUCCACUUUCCAUACAAGACAAAAACGUUCAAAAUUUUGAAAUCAUGAAAGAAAAGGAAAUACCAUAAUCUAAUUAGCUAAAAUAACUACUGUGACCAUUAUCAUAAGAUGUUCUGAAAUGGUUAGACUUUUUCUAUCUUUAAUCGAAAGUUACGAUAGAACCUUGAAAAUAAAGAAUUUUAUAGUAAAAAUCUUUUUUUUUUCCGCCUAAGUGGCACUACACAGCAUAUAAUCGAAUUUUGAAUUAACAAUUUUUUAACUAAAUACCAUUUAUUUAAAGGAAAAAACUAUCAUUAUAUCCCCACCACUGCCGCGGACCCCUCUGAUGGAUUAUAAUAAGCAGCAGAAGCAAUCCCAGUAUCAAAUCACAUGUAAUCUAGACAACUAGCAUAAAUAAGAUUUCACGGGUUACCUCUUGAAGCGUGAACAUAUCUUUUCUAGCACGUGAGCCUUCUGUUCCAUAACUUCUCAAUGGAAUCUACAUUACCCGCACAAUCGUGAUCCUCGAACGUUCCACGAUCUUCUAUUGUGUUACCCAAAUAAUAACCGGAAGUAGCAAUUUCGUGUGGGCGAAAUUUCUAGAAAAACUUGGCUGAAAAUUUCAGCCACCAUGUCUUUUUUUUUAUGCGAAAAACCUUAUGUAUUUAUAGCACAAGUUUUAAGGGUUAAGACAUUUUUCCAAAACCUGUUGAGUUUUCUUUUCCACCAGAAAAAGGAUUCAUUUAUUUCCUAUUAUUUAGGCACAGUAGGGACUACAUAAUUUAAUUAACAAGGCUUCCAAUUAUGGAAUUAAUUUAUAAUUUUCGAAAUUAAUAUCUACCAUAAUUAAUUACGAAUUAUUUCACUAAAAAUUCAUGUGUACUCCUUAUUCAAUUUCGAAAUUCAUCCAUUAAAUCUUAUUUAACUCCCCAUGUUAAGAUUCAGAUACAAAUCAAUUAAAUUAAAUUACUUACGAUUUAAUUUAUUGAUUAUUUCCUUUAGACUUUCGCUUAACUUAUUUCAUAUGUCGGAUACAAAAUUCACCAACUUAAAAACUUAUAUGCUUUCAUAAACGUGUAUCAUUAAUCUCUAAACGGAGACAUGGAUUCCAUCAACUAACUAUUACUUCACCAAUGUACAUUAUUAUUAUCCAAUUUAUCAGGCAUAUUGACCCAUGAAAGAAUAUCACUUUUAAUAAAUCAAAACAAUAAUACUAUACACAGCUAAUAAUAAUUAUAUCAAGAUUAAGAGNNNNNNNNNNNNNNNNNNNNNNNNNNNNNNNNNNNNNNNNNNNNNNNNNNNNNNNNNNNNNNNNNNNNNNNNNNNNNNNNNNNNNNNNNNNNNNNNNNNNNNNNNNNNNNNNNNNNNNNNNNNNNNNNNNNNNNNNNNNNNNNNNNNNNNNNNNNNNNNNNNNNNNNNNNNNNNNNNNNNNNNNNNNNNNNNNNNNNNNNNNNNNNNNNNNNNNNNNNNNNNNNNNNNNNNNNNNNAAUUAGAUUGUGAAUCAUUCAUGCAAAGUAUAUUAUAUAAUGCAAGAAUUAUACAAUCCAAAUAUAAAUAGAACCAACUCAGACGGAGAGCAUACUAUUAUUUUAGUCAAUUGUAUAUAAUUUUUUAAUACAAAAAUUUUAAACACACUACACAUAUAUGUAAUGCAUUAUAUAAGAAAAGGACACAGACUAUUAUAUGAUAUAUUUAAAAUUUUAUUAAAACUGCAUAAAUAAUUAUUUUAUAAUAAAUACUAUAUCUAAACCAAACACAUGGUUAAUAGUAUAUAUCCCAACAAUCUUCCACUUAGACUUUUAACAAUGAUAAUUAUUAGAAUAUACUAUAUCCAAAUGCAUGGUUAAUAAAAUAUGCCCCAACAAUCUCUCACUUAGACUCAUAAUCAUGUAUCUAUAACUUUAUCAGGUAUUCUUUUACAUGACUAUUAAAAGUCUUCACCAAAUAAAGUUUUGUUAAAGAAUCUUGUCAAGUUAUAUCUGAUGCAAUAUUUGUCCAGUAGUGCUUUGUCGNNNNNNNNNNNNNNNNNNNNNNNNNNNNNNNNNNNNNNNNNNNNNNNNNNNNNNNNNNNNNNNNNNNNNNNNNNNNNNNNNNNNNNNNNNNNNNNNNNNNNNNNNNNNNNNNNNNNCCAAGAAUGUACACCGAACUAUGAUUUUCUUUAGCUUUCUCCCACUACGAUGAAGUACUACUAAUAUUACCUUCAUUACCUCACGACAUUGAAAUAUUACUGACUUCUUACUAUAGUGUUCAAUAUUCAAAUAUCACUCCCACUCGAUAAAGACAUAUCAUGUCUAUUAACGUUCUCCCACUACUUAAAUGCAAUGGAACAUCAAUUCUGGCGUGUGGGUUUUGAUGUCCUUGAACAUCUAGUUAUUUCUUUGACCAGUUCCUGUAAAGAUAUUUUACUUCUAGGAACAUAUUUUAUUAAACAGUCCUUAUCUAAAAAAAUAUAAUUAUUUUAAAAAUUGCCUUAUUUUCAUUAGGACAAUAAAACAAAGCUCCAUUCGUUUUCUUGGAUAUUCGAUAAACAUGCACCUAUCCGUUCUUAGUUCCAACUUACAUAUCUGCUUUCCCUUUCAGCACAUGUGCGGGACAAUCCUAUAUCUGAACAUACCAUAGACCAAGCUUACAUUUAGUCCACAGUUCUAUAGAUGUCACAGGUACUAGCUUAGAAGGAACUAAAUUCAGAAUGUAAUUUGCAAUUCCCAGGAAAUAUUCCAAAGACAAAUAAGGCAAAUCUGAAUAACAUGUCAUUCGUCUAUCCAUUUCCAAAAGAGACUUAUUUUUUUUCUACUACACUACUCUAUUAUGGAGUUUACAGUGUAAUCAAUCGAGAUGUAGUCCCUUAUUCUGAUAUGUAACAAAAGAACUUUUUUGAGAUGUGCUCGCCACUACAAUUAAAUUGUAGUAACUUAAUAUAUUUCUUUGAUGCUUCCGUUUCAAGUCUUAAAAAUCUUUGAAUUACUUAAUUCAUUAAGACUUAUAGUGCAUCAAAUAAAUAUAUUAAUAUUUUGAGUAAUCAUUUAUGAACAUCACAAAAUACUCAAAAUUAUCUCUUACGAGUAUGUUCUUUUAACCAUACAAAUCAGAAAUGAUUCAUUCUAACUUAUCACUAGUUUUAUUUCCUUUUAAAAGGAAACAACUUUUUGGUCAAAUUUCAUUCCAAAUAGGAUCCACAAGUUAGUAGUGCCGCUACUCUCAAUGAACCUUAAGGUCCAUCCUUGACCAACUUGAAAUUAUAUCCAGAUUAAUAUGACAUAGACAAAAGAUCACAGAUAACUUUUACUCAAUUUUGAAGAACAUAUUCUCUUAUGAAGUAGACUAAUAUUGUUCUGUGAAGAACAUAUUCUCUUAUGAGGUAGACUAAUAUUGUUCUGUUCAUGAGAGACAUCAAUAUAUAAUAACAAGGUCAUGCAUUCAUGUACCAAAAGAGAUAAAAUGUUUAUUAAGCUCAAUAACUCAAGAGUUAUUCGAAAAAUAAAACAAAUAUCCAUCUCUUAUUUUGCCGGAAACCGGAAUUAAAUUCCUUCUAACAAAAGUACAUAUAUUGCAUCCUUAAAAUUAAUGCCUUGUCACUAAAAAAAUUUAAUAAGUAAUAUGAUCAGGUGCAUAAAAUCAUUGUGGAGUUGAGAUAAAAACAUUAAAUAGAUCAUAAUACGUCAAAACACUGAAUAGUAAAAUUCAGACUGCAUUCAAUAUUUCUAUACAUACAUGCAUCUUGAAUAAUAAAUUUCGAUGGGAAAAGAAUCAUUCAUGCAAAGUAUAUUAUAUAAUGCAAGAAUUAUACAAUCCAAAUAUAAAUAGAACCAACUCAGACGGAGAGCAUACUAUUAUUUUAGUCAAUUGUAUAUAAUUUUUUAAUACAAAAAUUUUAAACACACUACACAUAUAUGUAAUGCAUCUUGAAUAGCAAUUUCGAUGGGAAAAGAACUACUCAUGCAACAUACAUAUGCAAUGNNNNNNNNNNNNNNNNNNNNNNNNNNNNNNNNNNNNNNNNNNNNNNNNNNNNNNNNNNNGCAAUGCCAGAUUAUUCACUCUAAUAAUUAAAACAGACCCAACUCAGAUGGAGAGUAUACUGUUAAUUUAAGUCAAGUGAACAUUAUUUUUAAUAGCUCCAGUUCCAUUGAUCCGACAUGUAUACUCAGAUGGAGAGCAAGUACACGAUAUAAAUUAUUAGUGUUUCACCUAGUGAGCUUAUAAUAAAAUUAUCCGAUAUGGAGGAAGACCUAAAGUCAACGCAUAAAUUUAUUACUCACUUGAUAUUAAUAGUGAAAGACCAUAGAAAUAUAAUUCUAUCACCAUUUAAUCAUGAUUGUAUUUUAGUUACAAAAUUGAUUUAACCAUUAAACUCAAAUGGAGAGCUAACACAGGUUAUCAAUAACUAGUAACUAUAUCGAGUGCGUUCAUAAUAAAUUUAUCCGAUAUGGAGGAAGACCUAAUGUCAACGCGUAAAUUCACUAUCUUACUAUAAAUAAAAGAUGGAGACCAUAGGGGUUAACUUAUCACCACUUUAUCACUACCAAAAUUUUUUCUCUGAGUAUUAAGUUCCAUAAUUUUUGAAAAAUGCUCAAUACCCCCCAUUUAAACAGUCUUAAAAUACUAAUAUUAAUAUUUUACACUGCAUAGCAAUGAUUAUUGUUCAUUGAAUUGUUUCUGAUAAAUCUACCAAAUUUCAAAUCAAUCGAAAAUCGUUAAAGUCAUGACCUCCAAAAGUUGCGACCAAAUUUGGAAAAUUAUCAUUUUAAGCAAUUUUUAAGAAUUUAAAGUAUGACCUGUAUUUUUUUUUAUCAUAUAUCAAUUCAUGUCAAAUAAGCAUGUGUUAUCAUGUUCCAGAUUAGACAUAAAUAAAAUGAUAGAAAGAAUGACUUUUCGUAUGUAAAUCACAUUUUAAUCUGUCAAACCUCCAAAAAAAUCAUCUAAACGAUCCCGAAUCGUCAAAAUAUGACGUGAUUCAUUGCAUAGCAGUGAGUUCUUCUUUAAUGACCAUUUCCGAUGAUCCUACCGAAUUUCAGGUUAUUUGGAGAUCGUGAAAUUAAAUCACCAAAACUGGACCAAAUUCAAAUAAAUUAUUUUUGGGGUAGUUAGGAUUAAAUCCAUGUGAUCGCAUUCUUCAUAUAUAUCAUAUCAAGUUAAAUCACAUGUUUCAGAUUUACCACAAAUAUAGCAUAUAUAUAAAGAAUAAUUUUUCAUAUUUAUAACAAAUUCAAUUUAAUAAACUGCUCGAAAACCCAUCUAAACAACAUUAAAAUGCCAAAAAAUAACAUGAUUCAUUGCGUAGCAGUGAGUUUUUCUCAGUAGACCAUUUUCGAUGAACCCACCAAGUUUCAGGUCAAUCCGAGUCCGUCAAAUUCAUGACCACCAGCAUGUAACCAAACUCGGAGAAUAACCGUUUUAAGUAGUCUCAUGAAUUAAAAUAAAUAUGAUAUUGAUUUUCAUUCUCCUUAUAGUUACACUAUGAGCUCAAGGCAUAUAUUAUAUUUUUCCAAUUUCUAGGAUAUAUAAUAUCUCCUUUUGCAAUAAAUUAUCCUUUUAUUGAACACAUAAGAACAUGAGAUAUAAUAUUUUCUCCCGUUCGGUAAAAACCCCAAUAUCUCUUCUCAUGGGUGGAGUUAGUUUCACUAGUCCCCAAAGAUAAAAUACUUUUUCUAGUUAAGAACCUCCACCAUUAAUAUAGAUUUCUCAAGGAUAAGUUUCACAUGGUAUAUUAAAACAUAUUUUAGUGACUCAAAUAAAUAGAUCAUUUUGUGGAUCCUACUUAUUAAUCAUAAUAAAAGAAUAGAUAUAAUAUUUUCUCUCGUUCGGUGAAAACCCCAAUAUCUUUUCUCAUGGGUGGAUAGUUUCACUAGUACCCAAAGAUAAAACUCAUUUUCAAGUUAAGAACCUCCACCAUUAAUAUAGAUUUGUCAAGGAUAAUUUUCACAUGGUAUAUUAAACAUAUUUUAAUGACUCAAAUAAAUAGACCAUUUUAUGGAUCCUACUUAUUAAUCAUAAUGCUCAAUCUAUGAAUAGAUAUAAUUUCACAUGUACAAAUUUACUAAGAAUUUUUCAUGAGUAUUAUUAAGCAUAAUGCUCAAUCCAUGAAUAUAUAUAAUUUCACAUGUACAAAUUUACUAAAAAAUUUUCAUGAGUUCAAAUAAACAAAUCACUUCAGUGGUAACUAUUUAUUAUUCAUAAAAUUCUAAAUUUACAAGUGAAUAUAUAUUUAGAUCAUAAAAUUAUUUUAUGGUAGACCAUAGCUUAAAAAGCCAUACUAACAAUAUAAAACUUAUACAAAAUACCGUCACAUUUCACUUAAUUAGAACCUCCAAUCAGAGAACAAAAUUCUUCAUUGAAAAUCCAAACUAGUAAUCACGUCAUACCAACAAUAUAAAAUGUAUACAGAAUAUCGUCAUAUUUCACUUAAUUAGACCCUUCAAUCAGAGAACAAAAUUCUUCAUCGAAAAUCCAAACUAAUAAUCACGUAGGGCAUGGAAACAUAAACUUAAAUUUGAGAAUUUUGUUUUAUGCACAAAUAUGCCAAACGCUGCAAUCAUUAGUCAUCCAGGAUAUCAAAUAGAGAAUUUUACUUUCUUACAAAAUAAUUAUAUCAUCACACAAUAUCAAUUAUACCUUUUAAGACCUAGUCAAUUAAAAUCCUACACAUUUAUUAUUGACUUUAAUUCAACAACACGUCUGUUUGCUAAUAGCCAAUGUGCAAACCUGUUAUAUGACUAGUAUUUAAUCAUGGGGACAUGGGGAGUCACCCCCACCACCAUUGAAUUAAAAAGAAAUUAAAAUAAUUAAGAAAUAAUUUUCAGAAAAUAGCAAAAACAUCCAAAACAUAGUUCAAACGACCUCAAAACGCCGAAAUAUACCAUGGUUCACUGCAGUGAGUUUUCUCAUCACUUUAUUUCCAAUGUACCCACCAAAUUUUAGAUCAAUCGGAGUCCGUAAAGUUCGCUGACCUCCGAAAAUACCGGCUAUUCGGUCGAAAACAUAUUUUGCAUUUUUCUAGGGUUUACCCCAAAAAAUUCAGAUAAUCUCAAUCAAAUAUCAAUAAAAAACAAAUAUCUCAUGAUUACAAGAAUAAUCCAAAACUUUUACAUAGUUAAUUCAAAAAAAAAUAGAUUGCAGUUUUUCAGAAAAUUACAUAUUUAUGUAAUUAAAAAAAAUGCACAUAAACACCAUGUUCUUGUUUCAUGAAAACCUUAGUUAUCUAAUUAGAUGUGAGUGGGCUCUGAUAGCAAUUGAUAGAUUAUAAUAAGCAGCGGAAGCAAUCCCAGUAUCAAAAUCACAUGUAAUCUAGACAACUAGCAUAAAUGAGAUUUUAUGGCUUACCUCUUGAAGCGUGAACAUAUCUCUUCUACCACAUGAGCCUUAUGUUCCAUAACUUCUCAAUGGAAUCUCCAUCACCCGCACAAUCAUGAUCCUCGAAUGUUCCAUGGUCUUUUAUUGUAUUACCCAAAUAAUAGCCGGGAAUAGCAAUUUUGUGUGGGCGAAAUUUCUAGGAAAAUUUUCUUAAAAUUUCAGCCACCAUGUCUUUUUUUAGGUGGAAAACCUUAUUUAUUUAUAGCACAAGUUUUACGGGUUAAGACCCUUUUCCAAAACCUGUUGAGUUUUUUUUUCUACCAGAAAAAGAAUUCCUUUAUUUCUUAUUAUUUAGACACAGUAGGAACCACAGAACUUAAUUAACAACGCUUCCAAUUAUGGAAUUAAUUUAUAAUUUUCGAAAUUAAUAUCUAGCAUAAUUAAUUACGAAUUAUUCCACUAAAAAUUCAUAAUUUUGCUCCUUAUUCAAUUUCGAAAUUCAUCCAUUAAAUCUUAUUUAACUCUUCAUGUUAAGAUUUAGAUACGAGUCAAUGAAAUUAAAUUACUGAUGAUUUAAUUUAUUGAUUAUUUCCUUUAGACUUUCGCUUAACUUAUUUCAUGUAUCGGAUACAAAAUCCACCGGCCGGGUUUACUCAUGAAAACUUAUAAUCUUUCAUAAAGGUAUAUCAUCAAUCUCUAAACCGAGACAUCGAUUCCAUCAACUAACUAUUACUUCGCUAAUGUACAUUAUUAUUAUAUAAUUUACCAGGCAUAUUGACCCACGAAAGAAUCUCGCCUUUUAAUAAAUCAAAACAAUAAUAAUAUACACAGCUAAUAAUAAUUAUAUCAAGAUUAAGNNNNNNNNNNNNNNNNNNNNNNNNNNNNNNNNNNNNNNNNNCUAAUAAUAAUUAUAUCAAGAUUAAGAGUAUAAGUACAUUUAAUGGCUAGAGAGUUUAUUUUAUUAAGUCAGUAUAAAAUACUUAUCUCUACCUGGUGCGUUCAAUACAUACAAAAUAUACUAGCACAAGAAGGUGGAAUUAAACCAUUCGCAUAGUCAAGAUAAAUUAUAUUUAAUCUUGUGCUACAAUCAUUUCUGAUGGUUUGUCCAGUUCCAUCAUUAGAUUGCGAACUCAAACUUUAUACUUAUAAGAACCGAUGAUUUAAUCUUCCGUGUAUAAGCUAUACUCUAUACACUAAAUCAUCUUGGGAUUUUCUUGUCACACAGNNNNNNNNNNNNNNNNNNNNNNNNNNNNNNNNNNNNNNNNNNNNNNNNNNNNNNNNNNNNNNNNNNNNNNNNNNNNNNNNNNNNNNNNNNNNNNNNNNNNNNNNNNNNNNNNNNNNNNNNNNNNNUGAAUAAACAGUUGUUUCAUAAUAAAUAUUAUAUCUAAACCAAGCCCAUGAUUAAUAGUAUAUAUCUCAACAAUCUCCCACUUAGACUUUUAACCAUUAUAAUUAUUAGAAUAUACUAUAUCCAAAUACAUAAUUAAUAGUAUAUGUCCCAACACCCUCCACCAAUCUUUUUCUAUCAAGUCCUAAAUCCCUGUUUAACCUUUCCUACACCAACAAGAACAACUUCCACCAAAGUUUUGAUUAGGUAAAGCAAGGAAAAUAGAUUGUUUAGACCUAUAUCAUGAUUCUUCCUCAUUUCAUGCGUUAAUUUAUUUGCAACUUUUUCUAACAAAGUUGGGUGGAGGUCUAGUCUUCUUCUGUUUUUUCAUGAGUAAGAUUCAUUGAUAAAGUUGGUCACCUUUUUUUUAGUAAUUAAACUUUUCACUAAUCAUCAAUGAAGUUGCAUUAUAAAAUCACAGUCGGGUGUCAACUUAAUGGUUGCUAACAUAAGAAUUACUUUCCAAUUCUAACUAUCUAGGUUCUACUAUAUACUAAGAUGCUGUAAUAGUUGUCUGAUUUUUGGGGUGCCUCUAAUGUUACAGUUAUAUACUAUAUCCCUCAAUAGAGCGUUAUUACAUCAAAAAGUCUUGUUGAACACUCUUGCCUUCCUCUCUAGCCAGAUAACAUAUGUAACAUCAGCUGCAACCAUCUUGAAAAUGGCUGCACGACAUGUUCUUCCUUUGACUUUGGCAAUCAGCCAUUGCAUCUGCUGCCUCCAGCUGCCUCUAAGUGUGUAGUGUUCCUGUAGCCAAUUCAUUACUCUUCUCCAUAUAUCCACAGUGACCGGGGAUUCUGUGAGGAGAUGGUCUCUUGUUUCAGAUUGGGCUUGGCAUAGAGGACAGUGCUGCUCAAUUCCCAUUCCCCAGCUAUGUAGUCUGUCCCUGGUUGGUAGUCCGUCUUGUAAGGCUAGCCACAGAUUGAACACUGCUUUUGGUCUGGCUUGGUUCUGUAUAAUUAAGUUCUUCCAUGGAACUGGUGGUACGUCAUGUAACUGGGAUAUGAAUUUUUGUAAUUUGGUUAGCUCCUUUGAGUGAUUUUGGGCUUAAGAGCAUGCUCGGAAUGUAUUUUAUAGGUCCAUGGUAGAUUUCGGCUUGAAUUGGCAAAAUUGAAAUUUUGGCAUUUUUCGGUCGGCAGUGGAAAUCUUGAUAUCAAGGCUGAAAUGGAAUUCCGAAAAUUAGAGUAGGUUUUUUGGGUCAUUUGUGACGCAUGUGUAAAAUUUCAAGUCAUGCGNNNNNNNNNNNNNNNNNNNNNNNNNNNNNNNNNNNNNNNNNNNNNNNNNNNNNNNNNNNNNNNNNNNNNNNNNNNNNNNNNNNNNNNNNNNNNNNNNNNNNNNNNNNNNNNNNNNNNNNNNNNNNNNNNNNNNNNNNNNNNNNNNNNNNNNNNNNNNNNNNNNNNNNNNNNNNNNNNNNNNNNNNNNNNNNNNNNNNNNNNNNNNNNNNNNNNNNNNNNNNNNNNNNNNNNNNNNNNNNNNNNNNNNCCAGUUGUAAUCUUCCAGAGUAGGACAGGGUUCUGGCAGUCCAAGAAGUGAUCCUGGCUGUGAUUUUCUCCACUAGGGGUUGCCAUUGCAGUAAGGUGAGUUUCUUGGUGCUCAAUGGUACUCCCAAGUAUUUGAAAGGCAGUUGGCCUGGUUCAUAGCCAAGAUGAUGGAGGAUCUGUUGCUGUACUAGUAUUGGCACUCCCCCAAAGUAAACUGAGCUCUUGCUCAAGUUGGCUUUGAGACCUGAAGCUGCUGAAAAUUGGGAAAAACAGUUGGACAAUGCCUUAACAGAGUUGAGGUCCCCUUUGGCAAACAGUAACAGGUCAUCUGCAAAACACAUAUGUGUGAUUCCAAUUUUUUACAUCUGGGGUGGAAUUGGUAUGCUGGGUCAUUGCGCAAUUCAGUGCAGGCUCUGCUUAAGUACUUCAUGACCAAUGCAAAAAGGAAUGGGGACAUGGGGUCCCCCUGCCUCAAUCCUCUUGCUGCAUCAAAUGGAACUGUUGGCUCUCCAUUGACCAGGACUGUGUAGCUCACCGUUGAUAUGCAUUCCAGAAUCCAUGUUGUGAAAGUGCUGGGAAAGCCUAUCUGUUCCUUGACUUUCUUUAGAAACACCCAUUCCACUGUAUCAUAUGCCUUCUGGAGGUCUAUCUUGAUCAUGCAUCUGGGGGAGAUGUGCUUCCUAGUGUANNNNNNNNNNNNNNNNNNNNNNNNNNNNNNNNNNNNNNNNNNNNNNNNNNNNNNNNNNNNNNNNNNNNNNNNNNNNNNNNNNNNNNNNNNNNNNNNNNNNNNNNNNNNNNNNNNNNNNNNNUGUAUUAGUUAUACAAUAUAUUUGAUCUUGGGCUUCAUUUAUGAGGCUGGCCAUCACCUUCUGCAGCCUAUUAGCCAGUACUUUGGAAAUGAUUUUGUAUAGCACAGUACAACAGGCUAUAGGUCUAUAUUCUUUAACUGAAGCUGAUUUGGACAUUUUAGGGAUAAGAGUAAUGGUGGCACAAUUGAUUGGUCUACAUAUUUUUGCUGAGUUGAAGAGUUUCUUAAUGGCCUUAGUGACUUGGGGACCAAUGAUGUUCCGGCUCUUUUUGAAGAAGACUGCAUUGUAUCCAUCUAUGCCUGGUGCUUUGUCGUCUCCAAUAGCUUUGAGACUGGCUGUGAUCUCUGUAUCAGUGACCGGGGGACACAGUUCCUGUCUUUGUUGUUGGUUCAUUUUUGGGCCGUUGGACAUGUACAGUGGGUUGAUGGCAGGUAGAAUUGGUUCAGCAGUGCCCAUCAAUGCUUUGUAGAAGCCCAAUAUUUCUUCUUUAAUCUCUGUAGGCAUAUUUAGCUUGAUACCCUGUGCAGUAGUAAUUUCUUGAAUCUGCUUCUGUUGGCUUCUAUCUUUCAUUACUGCAGUAAAGUAUUUGGUGUUGGAAUCCCCCAGUUGUACCCACUUUGCUCUUGCCUUCUGUUGCAGGACAAUCUCUUCAAUCAAAGACCAUUUUUUCAGUUGUAUGAUCAGUUCUUUCUCCUUCUGUUGUAGUGCAUCACUGUAGGCCUUUCUCUUCAAUCAAAGACCAUUUUUCCAGUUGUAUGAUAAGUUCUUUCUCCUUUUGUUGUAGUGCAUCACUGUAGGCCUGGCUCAAUUGUUUUUGUAUGGUUCCCAGUUCCUGUCUAGGUUGGUCAAUUCUGCUUGUAAUUGUUUUAAAUUCCUUGCUAUUGAGUAUCUUCAAAGGAGUCUUCAAAGCUUUAAGUCUGUCCCAUAUUGAUUUCAUAGUAUCUGUCCUCCCCUCUUGCCAAACAGUUGUCACAAUGUGUUGGAAAUCAGAGUGUUCAGCCCAUCCAUUGAAGAAUUUGAAGUGCCUCUUCCCUUGCCAUGUGGGUGGUUGCAGUGUUAGUAUCAUUGGGUUAUGGUCUGAAAUUAGUGGUACAUCAUACUCAGUGACCACCUGAUGCCAGGUGAUCCUCCAUUCAUAAUUGCCAAAUACUCUGUCAAGCCUGCUCCAUACUCUGUCUUCACCAGUUUGCUUGUUAGUUCAUGUGUAGUAUUCACCUCUCCAAGGUAGUUCAGUCAGUCCAGUAAGCUGUAGACAAUUGUUGAGGUCCACUGUUUCUGGCAUUCUAACUGACUUACAUGACUGUCUGUCUCUGUCACACAAGAUUGCAUUGAAGUUCCCUGCUACAACCCAAGGUUAUGUAAUUCCUUUUGCCAAAUUCUGUAUACUGCUCCAUAGAGUUUUCUCCCAAGGUUCUGUAAUUCCUUUUGCCAAAUUCUGUAUUCUGCUCCAUAGAGUUUUUCUCUGCUCCAGCCCAUUGAAUCCAUAGACCACAGUGAGGAAACAAUUCAGGUUUCCUGUUCUGUUGGAAACCCUGCUGUGGAUCAGCUGGCUUUCCUCCAGAACACUAGUGACUGUGAAGAUCUUUGGGUUCCAUUGGAUCCAUACUCUGCCUUUUUCUCCUGAGACAUAGUUAGUUAGGACACCCCAUCCUGGUGCUAAUAGGUUAGAAAUUCUAUUAGCAUGAACUUGUCUAACUUUCGUUUCUACUAGCCCUACUAAGUUAAUGUUAUGUUUCCUAAUGUAUUCCCUGAAUUCCUUCUGUUUGUACCUCUUAUUUACACCUCUUAUGUUACUCUUAGCAGUCCUCUGGUCCUGGGCAGGUUGGGAAUGCUGCUGAAGUUCAGCAGGUUCCCUUGCUGAUGGCUGUCUCUGUAUUGCAGGUCACUUGGUUCUCCAUUCCUGGACUGGUUUGGGCUUCCACAUCUGAGUUGGCUGUUUAGGUAUCUGCUUUUGCAGAUUGGCACAAUUGUGUCCAACUGUUUGACAUUUCUCACAGAAUGAAGGCUUCCAUUCAUAUUCCACAUCUUGGAUAAAGCUCUUCCCAUUUGGAUCCAUUACUGUUAUUUCAGUUGGCAGGGCUUUGAUCACAGAAACUUCAAUGAGCAUUCGAGCAUAGGAUAUCCUUGUCUGUUUUGCAGUACAUUCAUCGGCAAAAAUUGGCUUGCCUAGGACACUGGCUAUUUGACUGAGGGACCUCAUACCCCAGCAUGACAUUGGCAGUUUGGGGAAUUUAACCCACAGGGGUAUUUCAGUUGGAAACUCUUCUGAAAAAUUAAACUCCGGUGUCCACUCUCAUACCCCAGCAUGACAUUGGGGGUUUGGGGAAUUUAACCCACAGGGGUAUUUCAGUCGGAAACUCUUCUGAAAAAUCAAACUCCGGCGUCCACUGUUUAAGAAUCAUGAGCCUAUUGGACAUUGAAUAAGGGCCAGCACAAAGUACCUCUUUAGCAUCUGCUACUGUCUUGAAUUUGACAAUGUAGUAUCUCUCUUCAUGGUAGAAUAAGUCAAGUUCAGGAACAUGGGACCAGUGGUGGUUUAUGAAUCUUCUCAUGGCAUAGAAGCCAGGCCCGUCUCCGAGAAUGUAUACCACUAGGGCACAUUUCCAUUUAGCUUCUUCCUCUUCCACCUCUGCUUUUUCCAAUAUUACUAUGGGCUUCCCUUCAACUAGGGUUGGGGCGAUGUAAUCAAGUGCCAUACCAUGGGUCGCGAAUUGAUUAUUCUGUAUGUUAAGUACAAAAUUAUAUAAAUAUAUAAAUCAAGUGCCAUACCAUGAGUCGCGAAUCGAUUCUUCUGGAAAAGUGUUGACCAGACCUUCGUGGGUUGCUGUACUGUGUUUGUAGCAAUCUCUGGUUGUUCUUCCGUGAGUGUUGUUGGUUGCAUGGUCGGUUCUGUCCCGGGUCCUGCGUCGGUGGUAUUCGGAGAGGUUGGCGUAUCUUCAGCCUCUGUUUGUCACUAUUGUCUUUGUGCUCGCUGCUGUUUCAGUGACUAUCUCCACCGGUGGCGCCGUCACUUCCAUGGCGUCUAGGGUUCCCUCCGAGGGCAGUUUCUGCUUCUCCUUCUCUGUGUUUUUCUCCAAAAUCAGUUAGUUAAGCUUGUCGAAAGUGUCAAUCGAAAUUUUCCUUGGUCUUCCCUUUACUCUGCUUCCGCCUUUCGCCAUCGCAACCCGACCGGCAUACGUUCUGCUAACGUGCGCCGGAGAGAUGAGAGAGACGGAGAGCAACUGGUAUUUUUACCUUUGUCGAAGGGAAAAAAUGUAUUUUUCCAUUAGGAUCAAUGCAUAAAGUUAAGGGUACGAAUCUCGAUAAACGCAAUUUUAUAACUUAUUUGUUAGUCCAAAAUAAACUAAUUAAUGCUGCACGUUAAGUUUUAGGUAAUGAACAAUCAUAUACUCCCCUCGUUUACAAUAAGCGACCAAUUUAUCUUGAAAAUAUUCAUUAAGAAAAUUUUAAAUUCUAGAUAAAAAUAAUUGGUGUGACUAUACUAACUUUAAUUAAAUAUUACAAUAUAAUUUAAUGUGAUGAGUAAAAGACUUUUUAGGAAUACGUAUAUAAAGGUAAUUUUGGAAAAAUAAAUUAAAUAUUUUCUUGAUUAUAUAAGUGGGCACUUAUUUUGAACUAAAAUAAAAAAAAAUUAAAUUGGUCAUUUAUUAUGGACCGGAGAUAAUACGAGUUUAGUUUUAUUGAAUACCCAUAUACGAUUUUAGUUCAAUUGAUAGUUAAAAAGCAUAUCAUAUUAUCAGAUAAAUUAAAAAAAAUAAUAUUUAUAUAUUGUUCAUAAUAAGAAAUAUAAUUUGGUAACAUGAGAAAUACUGCAACUAAUUUGUUAUGCUACAAAUUAAACUGUACUGAUAGUGUAAAUUAUACUGCGAAUGAAUAUAAGUGAAUUCUUUCAUAUACAUAAUUAGUCAUGAAAGCAAAGAAAACCCAAUUUUCUCUCACUCCCCUCUCCACUUUUCUCUCCAUUCAUUUCGUUGACCAAAAUUUUCUAUAGCAUGCAUUGUUAUAGAAAACUUUAUAUUUCUGAAUUUUUUUUAAAGGAGACUACUUUAUAUUUCUAGAGGAAAGCUUUUGUCGGUAUGGUUUUCAAUUUGAAGACCUUUAAUUAUUGCCUUUAUUUUUGUUUUAAGUUUUGCCUUUUUUCUUUUUCUAACCACGACACCAAUUAUUUUUUAGCAUAAUCCAAAUCCAUUAAUGUUUUACCUAAACCAGUGCUGAAGGAAUAAAUAUAAAAAGUUUAUCUUCGUGAGAGUUUCCCACGCAAAUAAAAAAAUAAACAAGUAAGAAAGAUCGACUGGUAUAGGAUCAUUACGUGAUUAACUUGUUACUAAAACCAAAGAAUUUGAGUUUUGAAUUCCAAAACUUUUUAAAGUUUUUUUUUUACUUAAGGUUUUUACUCAAAUUUACAACAUCUGUUCAAGAUAAACUAUAUCUAAGUACUCUAGACUAUACAUAGAGGUUGUAACUAUACUAUACCACAGCACCAACAUAUGCUGGAUUAACACAACAAUAAUGUCUCAAUACAACAUAAAAAGAGAUCACAAAAACCUUUGUAAGUUCUUUUAUUGGCGAUGUAUACAAAUCAAUUCUUUCUCUAAGAAAUCAAUAUAAUAACUUUUUUAUUAUAAAAUAAAAGCGAUUUAGUAAAACAUGAACAAUAUAUAGAGAUAUAGAGAGAAAUAGAGAAGGAAGAGAUUUUCUUCUUCAAAUUGUGUGUUUUUCUAUCUAGUACAAGGCCUUUAUAUAGGCAUAAAAAGUGAAGAAAAUAUGUCAUGGAAUAUAUCAUUGAACANNNNNNNNNNNNNNNNNNNNNNNNNNNNNNNNNNNNNNNNNNNNNNNNNNNNNNNNNNNNNNNNNNNNNNNNNNNNNNNNNNNNNNNNNNNNNNNNNNNNNNNNNNNNNGAAGAAGAGUAGACAUCCACCAUAAAUUGCUAUUUAUCAUAACACUCCCCCUUGGAUGUCCAUAGAUAAUGUGCCUCGUUAAAACCUUACUAAAAAAAACCUAUGGGAAAAAAAUUCUAGUGAAGGAAAAAGAGUACACAUGUUUAGAAAUACGCCCUUUCGGUUGCCUCAUUAAAAACCUUGCAAGGAAAAUCCAGUGGGACAACACCUUAUAAGGGAAAAAGAGUGCAACACGCAUUAACUCCCCCUGAUGAGAGCAUCGAUUCAUAUCCUUGAGCCUUCGCAUCCUGAUCUUGUACACUAGCUUCUUGAAGGUUGAUGUUGGUAGAGAUUUUGUGAACAAAUCAGCCAUNNNNNNNNNNNNNNNNNNNNNNNNNNNNNNNNNNNNNNNNNNNNNNNNNNNNNNNNNNNNNNNNNNNNNNNNNNNNNNNNNNNNNNNNNNNNNNNNNNNNNNNNNNNNNNNNNNNNNNNNNNNNNNNNNNNNNNNNNNNNNNNNNNNNNNNNNNNNNNNNNNNNNNNNNNNNNUCAAUUGGGCUAUGCAUGCUGCAUUAUCUUCAUACAAAAUUGUGGGUAGUUUGUCACAUUUCAAACCACAUUUGUCUCGAAUAAGAUGUAUUAUUGACCUUAACCACACACACUCUUGACUUGCUUCAUGAAUAACAAUUAUCUCAGCAUGAUUAGAUGAAGUAGCCACAAUUGAUUGCUUAAUCGCUCGCCAAGAUAUGACAGUGCCUCCACAGGUAUACACAUAGCCUGUUUGAUAUCGAGCUUUGUGUGGACCGGAUAAAUACCCAAAAACAGCAUAACCAACAAGAUCACGACUGCAAUUAUUGCCAUAAAAUAAUCCAAUAUAAGUAGUCCCUUUUAGAUACCACAAUAUGUAUUUGAUCCCAUUCAAAUGCCUCCUUGUAGGAGCAGAGCUAUAUCUUGCUAAGACAUUAACUGAAAAAGUUAUGGCAGACCUUGUAGUAUUAGCAAGAUACAUUACUGCGCCAAUUGCACUAAGAUAUGGUACUUCAAGACCAAGUAGCUCUUCAUUCUUUUCUUGAGGNNNNNNNNNNNNNNNNNNNNNNNNNNNNNNNNNNNNNNNNNNNNNNNNNNNNNNNNNNNNNNNNNCUUAUUCACAUCAAGUGAUCGAACAACCAUCAGAGUACUUAAUGGAUGUGCUCCAUCCAUGUAAAACCGUUUCAAUACCUUUUCUAUGUAGGCAGAUUAAAGAACAAAAAUUGCAUUUGCCAAAUGUUCAAUUUGCACACCAAGACAUAAUUUUGUCUUUCCGAGAUCUUUCAUCUCGAAUUCCUUCUUUAAAUAAUCAAUUGCCUUUUGGACUUCUAUAGGCGUUCCAAUAAGGUUUAUGUCAUCAACAUAUACGGUAAGUACAACGAAUUCCAAUGUUGUUUUCUUUAUACAAACACAUGGGCAAAUGACAUCAUUUAUGUAACCUACAUUUAAUAAAUACUCACUAAGACGAUUAUACCAUAUUCGUCCUGAUUGCUUUAGAUCAUACAAAGACCUUUGCAAUUUGAUUGAAAAUAUUUUCCGGGACUUUGAAUUAUGUGCGUCUAGAAUUUUAAAUCCAUCGGAAAUUUUCAUGUAUAUCUCAUUAUCAAGUGAGACAUAAAGAUAGUCGGUAACCACAUCCAUUAAAUACAUGUCAAGCUUUUUAAGAACAACAAAACUAAUGAGAUAACGAAAAGUUAGAGCAUCCAAAACGGGUGAAUAUGUCUCUUCAUAAUCGACACCAGGCCUUUGUGAAAAACCUUGUGCAACUAGACGGAAAGUUAUAGCAUCCAUAACGGGUAAAUAUAUCUCUUCAUAAUCGACACCAAUCCUUUGUGAAAAACCUUGUGCAACUUGACGUACCUAAUAUCUUUGUACCUCAUUUUUCUCAUUCCUUUUACGUACAAAGACCCAUUUAUAUCCAACAGGCUUAACACCAUCAGGUGUUUGCACUAUAGGUCCAAAAACUUCAUGUGUCGCAAGUGAAGUUAAUUCUGCCUGGAUAACCAUCAGGUGUUUGCACUACAGGUGCAAAAACUUCACGUGUCGCAAGUGAAGUUAAUUCUGCCUAGAUAGCGUCUUUCCAUUUUGGCCAAUCAUCUCUUUGUAUACAUUCAUCGAGAGAUUUUGAUUCAAGAUCCUCAUUUUGUUACAUUAUUUCAACAACAACAUUAUAAGUAAAAAUGUUAUCAAUAACAAUAUUAUUACGGUUCCAUGUUUUCCCCGUUGAGACAUAACUUAUUGAGAUCUCUCUAUGAUUAUCAUUUUCAGGUACCUGAACCUCUCUUGAGGUCUUAUCAUUUGUUAUGUCUAUGUGCUUUUCUUGAGCCACAACCUCUGUAUUAUGAUCACUUUGAUCAUUCACUCCUUUUAUUUUUCGAGAAUUUUUAUCCUUAGAACCGAUUGGUCUACCACGUUUCAAGCGUGGUUUAAACUCAUUUGCUUUAAUUGAUUGUCCUACCGGGACAUCAACUCGAAAAGGAGAAUUAGCAGCUGGAAUAUAUGACUUAGUCACCCUUGGUAGGUCAGUGCACGAUCUGGCAGUUGAUUUGCAAUAUUUUGCAAGUGAAUUAUCUUUUGAACCUCUUGUUCACAUUGAUUUCUUCGAGGAUCUAAAUGAAAUAGUGACAAUACAUUCCAAUCUAUCUCCUUUCUCAGCUUCUUAUUUUCUUUCCCUAAUGUUGGGUAUAUCGCGAGAUAGUGUCAAUACAUUUCAAUCUAUAUCAUUUCUCAACUGCUUAUUUUCUCCCCCUAAUGUUGGGUAUAUUGAUUCGUCAAAAUGGCAGUCAGAAAAUCUCGCUGUAAAUAAAUCUCCGGUUAUAGGCUCUAGAUAUUUUAUAAUAGAAGGAGAUUCAUCCUCAACAUAUACCCCCAACCUUCUUUGGAGGCCCAUUUUUUUGCAUUGUGGUGGAGCAAUUGGAACAUAUACCGCACAACCAAAUGUUCUAGAAAUUUGAGAAAGCCAUGUGCUUACCUAUUGCUCAUUUUUUGAAGGAGAAAGCCAUGUGCUUACCUAUUGCUCAUUUUGUUGAAGGAGAAAGCCACGUGCUUUCCAUUUUCAGUUCAGAACCAACACGUAGUAGCACAUAUUAGUGAUCAGAUAUGUAUGUUUAAAUACUUGACCUUAAUAUAACAUUAACAUUGACGACCUGCUGCAGUAACGAGCUCUCAGCUGCAGUAACGACCUGCUGCAGUAACGACCUCUCAGCUGCAGUAAUGACCUGCUGCAGUAACGACCUCUCAGCUGCAGUAAUGACCUGCUGCAGUAACGAACUGCAGUAACGAGUUGCUUAGUGGUAAUUGCAGGAGAAUUAAGAGGUCGUCCGAACAUAAAUGAUUGGAUAAGAAUUGACAGAAAUGUGGUUCUGCAUCUUUAUAAGGCCGAUAACCACGAAAGCUGAUUGAAACUAGUAGAGCUAAGUUAUGAUCGUUUGCCCAAAGAAAUGAAACGUGUUUCUUGUAUUGUGGUGUCUUUCCUCGAGGCUUCGAUAUUCCUUCUUGAAAAUUGAUUCGCUUGUGGAUAGCUGAAGGGUUACUAAAGCCUCAACAGAACUACACUCUUGAGGAGAUAGCUGAGUAUUAUAUGAGCGAUCUUGUCAAUAGAAAUUUAGUGAUAUUGCAGCAAAAGAGAUCUGAUGGUCAGAUAAAAACAUGUCGUCUUCACGACAUGUUGCAUCAGUUUUGCAGAACGGAGGGCAGUAACAAAUGGAAUUUAGCGAUAUUGCAGCAAAAGAGAUCUGAUGGUCAGAUAAAAACAUGUCGUCUUCACGACAUGUUGCAUCAGUUUUGCAGAACGUAGGGCAGUAACAAAUGGAUUUUUCAAGAAAUAUGUCCAGCACCUGACCAAGCUUCUGCUGUUACUUUGCAAUAAUUUUCUGUAUUCUUAUUAGCUUGAUCUUAUAUUCCAAGGUGUAGAGUGAAGAACUAUUUCCUUGGCUAUUCUCAUUUUUGAUUCAAAGUAUGUAUUAGUCUCGUUGUUGACCUUUGAUUACUUUUGCUUAUAUUCUUGUAGCCUUGAUGUCGUUGGAUAACACCUCGUGAUUUUAGACUGCUUUUGGGGUAAGCGAUUUAACUAUUGCUAUUUGAUUAAUUUUGCUUAUAUUCUUGUAGUCUUCUUGAUGUUGUUUGAUAACACCUCAUGAUUUUAAACUGUUUUUGGGGUAAGCGAUUUAACUAUUGCUCAUUGUAAAUUAUAACUAUUAUUUUACCAAUAGUUGUUUAUUUAUUUUUUCAAUCUUUUGUACUUAUAUAUUUUGAAGAUUGAAGCUACAAGUCAAGAUGUAAGCUUAGAAGAUGCACAAGCUCAUUAUUAUUUUGCUAAGAAUGUUAUGCAAAACUUGAAAUCAUAGUAUAGCUUAGGAUGAUAGUUAAGUUUUUUUUGUUGAUGUGUUGAGAAAACGCAUAGAAAGUAACAUCAUCAUGAGAUUUGACCUUAAUAUCUUAUCUUUUUAUAUCUAGAAUUUUCGAUAACAAUUUGAUAUUUCUUUAUAAGAAUUACUAUUUGUUGCAUUGAGCUUUUAGGACUACUCAUGGUUAUUAAUAGACCUGAAUAUUUCGCGUACAAAAUUAUUUUAGAUAGGGACGUCGACUAGUUAAAGGUUGGUCGCGAAAAUAAUUUAACGACAAGAUAUUUUGUUGGUCUUUAAUUUUUAAUUUAGGACCAGUUGGCGUUAGUCGCUAAAAAGAUUUAACGAAGGGAAUAUAUAUAUUUUUUCAUCAUCUAUUAGGGACGACUAAUGUAGUCUCUAAAUGUUAUUCACGACCAGGUUUUCUGUCCGUCCCUAAAAGGCAAUUUAGGACCAAUUAGGACCAGAUAUAGGUGGUCGCUAAAAUGAUUUCACGACGGGAAUAAAUAUUUUUUUCAUCGCCUAUAAGGACGAGAAAUUUGGUCAUUAAAAGUAUUCUACGACCGGUUUUUAUCCUCGUCUCUAAAGUGAGUUAACGAUUAGAUAUUUAGGACCGUCGUUAUUGACCUUUAGCGACGGAGGCUAUUACGACGGGUUACGGCCAGCCUGUUCCCGUCGCUAAUGAACUUUUUCGGACCAGAUUUUCACUUUUAGGGACUAGAUUUCCCUUCCUUAAAGGCCGUCUUACAUGUAGUGCAGGAUCAGGUUGCGCACCACAACAACCUAUAUAUUUCCAUUUCUUGAGCUGUGCUGGUUUUUUGAUAUUUGUAUUUGAACUGUUAAUGAUUGGUAAUUCUUGACGACACUGGUUUAUUCUUGAGGCUCUGGUUAUUAUUUUUAGUUGGCUGUUAAAUUCUGUUCAGUAUUUCCUAUUUUCUGUGAUUAUUAUAUACGGCGUCCAUGUUGUAGUAUAGGUGACCCACUUUAGUCUCGUCACUAUUUCGUCGAGGUUAGGCUCGAUACUUACCAGUACAUGGGGUAUGUAGUACUGAUACUAUACUCUGCACACAUUGUGCAGAUUUUGGAGUCGGUCCUAACAGCGGUUAUUCGCAUGCUCAGAUUGGACAGUUGCAGACAGUGGCGAACUCAAGUGGUGGCUAGCGGGUUCAACUGAACCCGCUUCACAAAAGUUAAUAUUGUGUAUUGUAUAAAUUUGGAUUAAAACUGUGUAAAUUUUUUAUAAAUAUUUAUUUGAACCCACUUGACAGCUACUAUUUUACAAUUAAAGUUAUAUACUUCUAAGAUUGAACCCGCUUGCACAAAAUUCUGGGUCCGCCACCGGUUGCGGAGACUUGAGGUACGACUGCUUAGUGCCCGCAGCUCCUGGAGUCCCACCUCCUCUAUCUAUUUAGCUGUGUAUUUUCAUUCCGACAGCCUUGUAUUUAUUUCAGACUCUUGUGUGUAUUACUCUAGAAGCUCGUGCACUUGUGAUACCGGGUUCAGGAAUUUGUAGUAGAUGUUUGUUUUAGCUUCCUCAUUUAUAUUUGGAUUAUUGCAGUUAAAUCAGUUCUUCUUCAUUAAUUGAAUUUAAAUUGUUAAAAAGGAUUAAUUGUUCUAAUGUUGGCUUGCCUAGCAAGUGAAACGUUAGGUUUUAUCACGGUCCCCAUAGUAGAAAUCCGGAUCGUGACAUCUUUUCUUAUUACUGCAAAAUUUAAUAUUCCCAUAGUCUUUUACACAAGUUGCCAUUUCUGCUGAUACAAUAUAAUAGCGGAAGCAAAAUGAAGAUAUACUUAAUUUGUUAUACAAGAAGAAUAGAUGAUAAGGAAAGAAAUUUAGAAGUUGGGGUCAAUGAGUUCUCCAUUCAAGUACUCUCUGUAAGCAGCAACAGGCCAACUGAAGCCUCUCCAGAUGAGCUUAUUAGCCAAAGGAACAUCAAUAAUGAUUUCUUUCAUAGUUGGUUUCUUGUCAUCUCUUACAGCAAUUAAGUAACUCCUUCCAACCCACCCAAUCCAACCAGCUAUGUACAAGAAAAGGAUCCCUGGUGUUAUGAACUCUCCCCAGUGCCUUUGGUCUCCACUCACUAUCAAAUGUGGCAAUCCAUCUGAUCCACACAACAAUCCUUGCUUCCCAUAGUUGUCAAACCUGCACUUAAAACUUUGAGAUGAGAAAAAUAACAUUUCUUUAUAGGAUUUAAGGUUAACUUAUAUAUAUAUAUAUAUAUACAUAUAUUUAUGCGGAUUGCUGUCAAAUUGUUAUUUGCUGCGGAGCGAAAAGUUUGUGAUAAAAUGUUUGAAGGAUUUGAGCACCUCAAAGAUCAAUGUUUUCACUGAGCCGAGGGUCGAUUGGAAACUGCCUCUCUGCCCUUUCGGGUAGGGGUAAGGCCCGUUUACAUAUUACCCUCCCCAGACCCCACUUUGUGGGACUAUACUGGGUAGUUGUUGUUGUUGUUGUUGUUAUAUAUAUAUAUACACUGGCAACCAGGGGCGGAUCCAUUGUUAAGGUCUCCGGUUCAUCUUAACACAAUAUCUUCAACGCGAAGCAUAAUAAAAAUUGAACCCGUAAAAUUUGAAUCUAGGAUCCGCCUCUGCUGGCAACUAGUGUAAGUGUGUA
rnacentral:lncRNA from 1 species